AGGACCAGUGAUGCUGGCUGGUAGCGUGUGAGUUGUAUUUGAUGAGUGCCAUGUGUCUGGAACUAAGGUCCUG
ensembl:snoRNA